AUUGAACGCUGGCGGCAUGCCUUACACAUGCAAGUCGAACGGCAGCACGGGUGCUUGCCCCUGGUGGCGAGUGGCGAACGGGUGAGUAUUACAUCGGAACAUGUCCUGUAGAGGGGUGUAGCCCGGCGAAAGCCGGAUUAAUACCGCAUACGAUCUACGGAUGAAAGCGGGGGACCUUCGGGCCUCGGGCUUUCGGUUUGGCCGAUGGCGGAUUAGCUAGUUGGUGGGGUAAAGGCCUACCAAGGCGACGAUCAGUAGCUGGUCUGAGAGGACGACCAGCCACACUGGGACUGAGACACGGCCCAGACUCCUACGGGAGGCAGCAGUGGGGAAUUUUGGACAAAGGGCGAAAGCCUGAUCCAGCAAUGCCGCGUGUGUGAAGAAGGCCUUCGGGUUGUAAAGCACUUUUGUCCGGAAAGAAAUCCUUGGCCCUAAUACGGUCGGGGGAUGACGGUACCGGAAGAAUAAGCACCGGCUAACUACGUG
rnacentral:rRNA from 1 species